rnacentral:rRNA from 1 species
UGCAAGUCGAACGGCAGCACGAGAGAGCUUGCUCUCUUGGUGGCGAGUGGCGGACGGGUGAGGAAUACAUCGGAAUCUACCUUUUGGUGGGGGAUAACGUAGGGAAACUUACGCUAAUACCGCAUACGCCCUUCGGGGGAAAGCCGGGGACCUUCGGGCCUGGCGCUGAUAGAUGAGCCGAUGUCGGAUUAGCUAGUUGGUGAGGUAAUGGCUCACCAAGGCGACGAUCCGUAGCUGGUCUGAGAGGAUGAUCAGCCACACUGGAACUGAGACACGGUCCAGACUCCUACGGGAGGCAGCAGUGGGGAAUAUUGGACAAUGGGCGCAAGCCUGAUCCAGCCAUACCGCGUGGGUGAAGAAGGCCUUCGGGUUGUAAAGCCCUUUUGUUGGGAAAGAAAAGCGAUCGGUUAAUACCCGGUUGUUCUGACGGUACCCAAAGAAUAAGCACCGGCUAACUUCGUGCCAGCAGCCGCGGUAAUACGAAGGGUGCAAGCGUUACUCGGAAUUACUGGGCGUAAAGCGUGCGUAGGUGGUGGUUUAAGUCCGUUGUGAAAGCCCUGGGCUCAACCUGGGAAUUGCAGUGGAUACUGGGUCACUAGAGUGUGGUAGAGGAUAGUGGAAUUUCCGGUGUAGCAGUGAAAUGCGUAGAGAUC